UAUGAGCUGUGACCACUCCAGCACCAUUCAUGUCAGGAAUACUUGGAUUGCACCUGUUGACUCCCCCCAGCCUACGUUUACAGGAAGAUUCUCACAUUCUCCCUUCCUGGUGAAAACUUAAUAAACAAGAUGGUAGUGUUUCUGUUUUGGUACAGAGGAGAAAUGAGAAUUAAUUAUCAGGGAAAAUUUUCUUUGGAAAGCAGAAGCUCUACAGUAGAGAAAAGGGAAGUUGUUUUGACUGUCAACAUCUCAGAAAGAAAGUGGUGGUAGCGUGUGAUUAUUCAGGGAUGUAGCCUCCAGGGUUGGAAAAUACUGGUCAGUUGAAUGCAGCUUUAGAGUGCUGCAAAAAAUACCCUCUGUGACUCCAAGCUUGGCUUUACAACAAGUCCUUUAAUCUCUAUUGUGAACUUGAUCUUUAUUUUCAUGUGUUAGAUAAAGUGAUGUUAGUUC
rnacentral:lncRNA from 1 species